UGAGGAAUAUUGGUCAAUGGGCGAGAGCCUGAACCAGCCAAGUCGCGUGAAGGAUGAAGGUUCUAUGGAUUGUAAACUUCUUUUAUAGGGGAAUAAAGUGCGGGACGUGUCCCGCUUUGUAUGUACCUUAUGAAUAAGCAUCGGCUAACUCCGUGCCAGCAGCCGCGGUAAUACGGAGGAUGCGAGCGUUAUCCGGAUUUAUUGGGUUUAAAGGGUGCGUAGGUGGUUUGUUAAGUCAGCGGUGAAAGUUUGUGGCUCAACCAUAAAAUUGCCGUUGAAACUGGUAAACUUGAGUAUAUUUGAGGUAGGCGGAAUGCGUGGUGUAGCGGUGAAAUGCAUAGAUAUCACGCAGAACUCCAAUUGCGAAGGCAGCUUACUAAACUAUAACUGACACUGAAGCACGAAAGCGUGGGUAUCAAACA
rnacentral:rRNA from 1 species